rnacentral:snRNA from 1 species
AUGCCAUUAAUAUUUUUCACAA